UGUGUCUGUGUGUAUGUAUGUGUGCGUGUGCAUGUCAGUGUAUGUGCAUGUGCGUGUGUGUAUGUGUG
rnacentral:pre_miRNA from 1 species